rnacentral:rRNA from 1 species
UACGUAGGGGGCAAGCGUUGUCCGGAUUUAUUGGGCGUAAAGAGCUCGUAGGUGGUUCGGUAAGUCGGAUGUGAAAUCUCCAGGCUCAACCUGGAGGGGUCAUUCGAUACUGCCGUGACUAGAGGUCGGUAGGGGAGUGUGGAAUUCCUGGUGGAGCGGUGAAAUGUGCAGAUAUCAGGAGGAACACCCGUAGCGAAGGCGGCACUCUGGGCCGAUACUGACACUGAGGAGCGAAAGCGUGGGGAGCGAACAGG